rnacentral:rRNA from 1 species
UUGAAAGGCGGCUUCGGCUGUCACUUAUGGAUGGACCCGCGUCGCAUUAGCUAGUUGGUGAGGUAACGGCUCACCAAGGCAACGAUGCGUAGCCGACCUGAGAGGGUGAUCGGCCACACUGGGACUGAGACACGGCCCAGACUCCUACGGGAGGCAGCAGUAGGGAAUCUUCCGCAAUGGACGAAAGUCUGACGGAGCAACGCCGCGUGAGUGAUGAAGGCUUUCGGGUCGUAAAACUCUGUUGUUAGGGAAGAACAAGUGCUAGUUGAAUAAGCUGGCACCUUGACGGUACCUAACCAGAAAGCCACGGCUAACUACGUGCCAGCAGCCGCGGUAAUACGUAGGUGGCAAGCGUUAUCCGGAAUUAUUGGGCGUAAAGCGCGCGCAGGUGGUUUCUUAAGUCUGAUGUGAAAGCCCACGGCUCAACCGUGGAGGGUCAUUGGAAACUGGGAGACUUGAGUGCAGAAGAGGAAAGUGGAAUUCCAUGUGUAGCGGUGAAAUGCGUAGAG